rnacentral:rRNA from 1 species
AGGCAGCAGUAGGGAAUCUUCCGCAAUGGGCGAAAGCCUGACGGAGCAACGCCGCGUGAGUGAUGAAGGUCUUCGGAUCGUAAAACUCUGUUAUUAGGGAAGAACAUAUGUGUAAGUAACUGUGCGCAUCUUGACGGUACCUAAUCAGAAAGCCACGGCUAACUACGUGCCUGCAGCCGCGGUAAUACGUAGGUGGCAAGCGUUAUCCGGAAUUAUUGGGCGUAAAGCGCGCGUAGGCGGUUUUUUAAGUCUGAUGUGAAAGCCCACGGCUCAACCGUGGAGGGUCAUUGGAAACUGGAAAACUUGAGUGCAGAAGAGGAAAGUGGAAUUCCAUGUGUAGCGGUGAAAUGCGCAGAGAUAUGGAGGAACACCAGUGGCGAAGGCGACUUUCUGGUCUGUAACUGACGCUGAUGUGCGAAAGCGUGGGGAUCAAACAGGAUUAGAUACCCUGGUAGUCCACGCCGUAAACGAUGAGUGCUAAGUGUUAGGGGGUUUCCGCCCCUUAGUGCUGCAGCUAACGCAUUAAGCACUCCGCCUGGGGA